CCUCCAGAUGUUGCUGAACUACAACUCCCAUGAUUCUAUUGAUGAAUGGCUCCGAAUCAUGGGAGUUGUAGUUCAGCAACAUCUGAAGG